CCUGUGACAUACCUAAAACGUUGCCUCGGCGGGAACAGACGGCCCCGUAACACGGGCCGCCCCCGCCAGAGGACCCCCUAACUCUGUUUCUAUAAUGUUUCUUCUGAGUAAACAAGCAAAUAAAUUAAAACUUUCAACAACGGAUCUCUUGGCUCUGGCAUCGAUGAAGAACGCAGCGAAAUGCGAUAAGUAAUGUGAAUUGCAGAAUUCAGUGAAUCAUCGAAUCUUUGAACGCACAUUGCGCCCGCCAGUAUUCUGGCGGGCAUGCCUGUUCGAGCGUCAUUACAACCCUCAGGCCCCCGGGCCUGGCGUUGGGGAUCGGCGGAAGCCCCCUGCGGGCACAACGCCGUCCCCCAAAUACAGUGGCGUUCCCGCCGCAGCUUUCAAUUGCGUAGUAGCUAACACCUCGCAACUGGAGAGCGCCGCGCCCACCGCGUAAAACACCCAAUUUUCUGAAUGUUGACCUCGAAUCAGGUAGGAAUACCCCGCUGAACUUAAG
rnacentral:rRNA from 1 species